rnacentral:rRNA from 1 species
AUUGAACGCUGGCGGCAGGCCUAACACAUGCAAGUCGAACGAGUGGCGGACGGGUGAGUAAUGUCUGGGAAACUGCCUGAUGGAGGGGGAUAACUACUGGAAACGGUAGCUAAUACCGCAUACCAUCGGAUGUGCCCAGAUGGGAUUAGCUAGUAGGUGGGGUAAAGGCUCACCUAGGCGACGAUCCCUAGCUGGUCUGAGGGGCUGACACGCCCCACUGGAACUUGGCCACGGUCCCGCCUCCUACGGGAGGCAACAGUGGGGAAUAUUGCACAAUGGGCGCAAGCCUGAUGCAGCCAUGCCGCGUGGAUGAAAGAGGCCUUCGGGUUUUAAAGUACUUUCAGCGGGGAGGCGUUACCCGCAGAAGAAGCACCGGCUAACUCCGUGCCAGCAGCCGCGGUAAUUC